UGAACUCUAUCACUCUUUCUCUCCUACACUACAGACUCAGUACUUCACUUGUCCAAGCAGAGGAUAGCUUCCACUAAAAAGCUGCAGGAGGUCAUUUACGACGACGCGCAACCGUUGAAUGUUGUGCUUUCCGUGGACGGUUCUUUUUACUGAUAUAAGGCCGCUGGAGAGGAAAGAGGGUCUCAUGUCGACCAUAGCGACUGGACCCGAGUGGAGCCAAUAAACCUUUGUGAACCAGCUCCUUUCAAGAGGAGUGCCGAAUCCUGUGUGUUGACGUUGCCGUGGACAUUUCCUUUGCGAGGACCCGCUUCUUAUCCAGGAGGAAGGAGUGCAGCCAUCAGCAAGCCAAGAAAAAGCAAGCAAGCAAAGAAAAGUCAUGUGAAGACAAUUCGCCAUUCCAAACCUGUUUUCUUUGUUCA